rnacentral:rRNA from 1 species
GACGAACGCUGGCGGCGUGCCUAAUACAUGCAAGUAGAACGCUGAAGAAAGGAGCUUGCUUCUUUUGGAUGAGUUGCGAACGGGUGAGUAACGCGUAGGUAGCCUGCCUUGUAGCGGGGGAUAACUAUUGGAAACGAUAGCUAAUACCGCAUAACAGCUUUUGACACAUGUUAGAAGCUUGAAAGAUGCAAUUGCAUCACUACGAGAUGGACCUGCGUUGUAUUAGCUAGUAGGUAGGGUAACGGCCUACCUAGGCGACGAUACAUAGCCGACCUGAGAGGGUGAUCGGCCACACUGGGACUGAGACACGGCCCAGACUCCUACGGGAGGCAGCAGUAGGGAAUCUUCGGCAAUGGGGGCAACCCUGGCCGAGCAACGCCGCGUGAGUGAAGAAGGUUUUCGGAUCGUAAAGCUCUGUUGUAAGAGAAGAACGUGUGUGAGAGUGGAAAGUUCACACAGUGACGGUAACUUACCAGAAAGGGACGGCUAACUACGUGCCAGCCGCCGCGUAA